rnacentral:rRNA from 1 species
CCUACGGGAGGCAGCAGUGAGGAAUAUUGGUCAAUGGGCGCGAGCCUGAACCAGCCAAGUCGCGUGAGGGAUGACUGCCCUACGGGUUGUAAACUUCUUUUCUAAAGGAAUAAAGUCAAGCCCGUGUGCCUUUUUGUAUGUACUUUAUGAAUAAGGCUCGGCUAAAUCCGUGCCAGCCGCCGCGGUAAUACGGAGGAUCCGAGCGUUCUCCGGAUUUAUUGGGUUUAAAGGUUGCGUAGGCGUGCGUUUGAGUCAGCGGGGAAAGUCUGUGGCUUAACCGGGGAUUUGCGGUGGAAACUGGGUGGCUUGAGUGUGGUUGAGGCAGGCGGAAGGCGUGGUGUAGCGGUGAAAUGCGUAGAUAUCACGCAGAACCCCGAUGGCGAAGGCAGCCUGCUAAGCCAUGACUGACGCUGAGGCACGAAAGCGUGGGGAUCAAACAGGAUUAGAUACCCUGGUAGUC